rnacentral:rRNA from 1 species
UACGUAGGGGGCAAGCGUUGUCCGGAUUUAUUGGGCGUAAAGAGCGUGUAGGCGGCCAUACAGGUCCGUUGUGAAAACUCGAGGCUUAACCUCGAGACGUCGAUGGAAACCGUAUGGCUAGAGUCCGGAAGAGGAGAGUGGAAUUCCUGGUGUAGCGGUGAAAUGCGCAGAUAUCAGGAAGAACACCAGUGGCGAAGGCGGCUCUCUGGGGCGGUACUGACGCUGAGACGCGAAAGCGUGGGGAGCGAACAGG